CCAAACUAUAGACAGGCACUAAACACUACCCUCAUUUUAUAUAGGAGGAGACUUCAGCUCAGUGGGACUAAGUAACUUUGGAAAGAAUACAAUAGAUAAGUAACAGACCUGGAAUUUGUAUGGAUAUAGUUCUUAAACUUACAGGCUUGUUCUUAACCACUAGCUGGCUGUCACAGGACAGCCCUGUGUUUGGAUUAGGUAGGUGGCAUCUAAAUGCCAUGCUUUGAAGGACCACAUGGGAUUGCCCUUGGUGCUCACUCAUAUGCCCACAACCUCCUCUGUGAGCUCCUGCAUUUGGGUAAAGGCAUCACUUACAGUUUCUGCAUUCAGAUGGACUCAGACUGAAUGCAUUCAGGUUGAAUCUUGGUGCUUCUACUUUCCAGUUUGUGGCCUUGGACCUCAGCUUUGUUAUCUGUAAAGUGGGGCUACUAAUACCUCCUUCAGAGAGUCGUUAUGAAGAUUCAGUGAAAUUGUGUUUGUGAAACACCUGGCCCAGAGGACCUACCACUUUUUAAGGGAUGGAUUCAUAGGAGGAAACACCGUGAUCUACUGACUGGCAUCAGUGAAAAGCUCCAGAGAAUGGAAUAUAAGCAGGACUCCUCUCCGAAGACCCAGGCUGGCAGACAUUGUCACCAACCACGUGGGGAAUUGAAGCAAAGGCCUCUGAAACUGCAAAACCCACUGAAAUGGAUUUUGAGAAGAAUACCCAGGUGUCUGUGGUGGGAAAAGAGCUGCACACGGAACAAGCUUUUCCUGAACACGUGCUGUGUGCAGGUCUCCUCUUGGGACCUUGGGAUGAAGGAAGAGAAAGAAAAUAGAGCCCCUGCCCUCAGAGAGCCUCCAGUCUGGGAACGUAAACUCGCAUAUCCGUGAUGCCUGAUAACUCUCUUGAACUCACUGCUGCAAAAAUGGCUUCUCGGCGUGUAAACAAGGUAUCUGAACUCUUUACCAAGCAAGUGUUGAAUGUGUUUGGUAGCUCAAGUUCUGGCAUCAGAGAGUGGCUUUCAACCCUAUGUCUGUCACUUACAGGCUGAUCCACUCAUCCUGGUUUGCCUGGGACCUCCGCAGUUUAGCACUGAAAAGCCCCCAUCCUGGGCACCCCAGCUUCUUAUAGAUUUUGUGUCCUUGGGCAAAUCACUUGAUCUCUUUGAACCUCAGUUUCUUUAACUGUAACAUGCAAAUAGUAAUUCUGAUCUAUUAUGACUGUUGUGAUAGUUAAAUGGGGAUGCAUUAAGAGAGUCUAGCAGAGCACGUGGUUCUGCAAGUGUUAAUAUUAUCAUUUAUUAUUACUGCUGUUAUAACAGUCAUGGAUUUGAUGGAUUCACAUUCAUUUUACCUCCCUUUUCCUGGACAGCAACUGCAUGCUGUCCUGGAAAACGUGAAACUGACUGUGAUGGUUCAUAAUAUGUUUCUAUGAAUGGUAAAGAGCUACUGUUGUUGAGGAAUUUUCUUCUCAAAUGUAAUAUAGAUUUCUAACUUCCCCUUUUUACUUUCUCUGUAUACUAAUCUUUUUUUCCUUUUCGUUGUCAUGGGAUCUGAAAUGACACUACCCGUGAACAGUCAUGUAAAACAAUUGUCUGAAACAUAAU
ensembl:lncRNA